rnacentral:rRNA from 1 species
AGUCGAACGAAGCUUGACGGAUGAUUUCUUCGGAAUGAAACCAGAUAUGACUUAGUGGCGGACGGGUGAGUAACACGUGAGCAACCUGCCUUUCAGAGGGGGAUAACGGCUGGAAACGGUCGCUAAUACCACAUGAUGUGUUCGGAUGGCAUCAUUUGAACAUCAAAGAUUUAUCGCUGAAAGAUGGGCUCGCGUCUGAUUAGAUAGUUGGUGGGGUAACGGCCUACCAAGUCUACGAUCAGUAGCCGGACUGAGAGGUUGAACGGCCACAUUGGGACUGAGAUACGGCCCAGACUCCUACGGGAGGCAGCAGUGGGGAAUAUUGCACAAUGGGGGAAACCCUGAUGCAGCAACGCCGCGUGAAGGAUGACGGUUUUCGGAUUGUAAACUUCUUUUCUUAGUGACGAAGACAGUGACGGUAGCUAAGGAAUAAGCAUCGGCUAACUACGUGCCAGCAGCCGCGGUAAUACGUAGGAUGCAAGCGUUAUCCGGAUUUACUGGGUGUAAAGGGAGCGCAGGCGGGACUGCAAGUUGGAUGUGAAAUACCGUGGCUUAACCACGGAACUGCAUCCAAAACUGUAGUUCUUGAGUGAAGUAGAGGCAAGCGGAAUUCCGAGUGUAGCGGUGAAAUGCGUAGAUAUUCGGAGGAACACCAGUGGCGAAGGCGGCUUGCUGGGCUUUAACUGACGCUGAGGCUCGAAAGUGUGGGGAGCAAACAGGAUUAGAUACCCUGGUAGUCCACACUGUAAACGAUGAUAGCUAGGUGUGGGGG